UAAAGUUUUAACUAAUUGUAAGCAGUAUAUUAAAAAUUGAUGAUUGACACGCAUAAAUAUGUAAUUAUCUUCUUCUUUUUUACUCUAAUUCUUCGACUUCUUUCAUAUGGUUAUCUCAUAGCAGCAGGUGAUAAUUGACCUCUCCUUCAAAGUCUUUGGUGAUUUGUUUGAAAAUAUGUACAUGUACUGACAGUCUAGCUUUCAGAUGGCGCACAUUUGAAACGGAAUAAAAACCAAAGACGUGGAUUUGAAGCUGUGUAAGCCUGCAACCGAUAUUUUUAUGAAUAUACAACGUGCCGUAUAUUCGUAUAGAACUAUAAUAAGAAAAAAAGAAGCGGUGGUAUACACGAGGCGCCUAGUCUUAAAAUCUGGUUUUCCGGAAUGCAUAGGACUAGCAUUUCCAGAACAUUUGUUGGACAGAUAUUCACCGACUAGUAUAAGAGGUGUACAGUUGUUGCCAGGAAUGAGAGAGCUGCUGCCGCAUCUCAGCUUAGUCGGGAUAGAGGAGAAAUAGAGAAGGAAGACCGUGCAGAGCUUAACUGACUAUGAGAGGUCUGCGUUUCCUGGAAUUAGCUGCAGCACAAACUAAAUGCCAUCCAAAGGCCACCCGUAUUUGCGGGCUGAAGGCCCGGCUUUCAUUUUCCAAGCCCUUUACGGACCGCUUCAAGGUCCUUUCAGCUUUACCUACGUAUCCCAGGUCGGGCCCAACGAUCGGCUCUUGCGAAGAGAAAAUGCAUCAAUCACAACGCCGGCCGGCAUCGAAUACUUUCAAGUUCGAUGGCAGUUCGCUCGCUCUUGUUUUCUAGAAUUUGGCAGCAGCAUUUCUACGCCUGGGAUCUCGAACAUUCGACGUAUUACAUGGCCGGGGUUUCGAAUUCUAAUCUUGAGAACGUUUCGGAUGUGCACGUACUAUACGUAGCGCAGGGUUACAGAAAAAUGUAAAUCAGCCGAAUGCCCUCCGAAAGCGUAAAAGUAUCCAUGUCUUUUAGUAAUGUGCUGUGCAUCGCAGUAACUACGAGAAAAAAAGUUUACCUUUAGCAAAUUGAAUUUGUACAGUUUGAUACGGUGAAAGAAAUACUAGGUGAGCUGUGUAAUCCCUGGUGCAAGAAGUUUAGGUACACGAAUACGUGUAUAUAGAUGCGUUUGACUGUGAUACAUAACGCGUACAGAAGGCAGCAAUAGUUAUUUUUGUAACAGAAAUACAAUUCACCCUGCGACCGAGCCGCUUUUCUCUCCUGCUAUUGCUGCAGGGAAAGACGAGGGGAGAUGAAAAUAAGGGGACGCCCCCAAAUUUCCGAAACCGAAGCAAUCGAUAGUCGAUCCUCGGAGAGCUACUAGAAACAUUCGUGAGUCUACGUCGUACACCAUAUUUGCAAUAUUUUGCGUAUCCACCGUUCAAAUUUCACGAGAAAAAUAAACCAUGUUAUUUCUUCUUGCACGUCUUGCGCGACGUUCGAGAUUUCCAAAGCGAAUAAACAGAUGCCACGAUUAUUUUGUUAUUAGAAAAUUAUAUUACAACGUUUUUAACAAAUAUCGCUAGCUUAAUGUUCCAGCUAUCUUCGACGAUGCCGUUGACCGCUUGUGCGUACGAAGGAUACAUGCAGCACGAUCACAACAGUGCGCAUGGAAAUCGUGGAUUCUUCUCAACAGAUAAUUCGAGCGCGUAAUUUUUAGAUAACGCGCUAUCUAACAUUAACGAAGAAAGGAAUUUAUUCGUUCUCAACCAACAAAUGAAUCCUUCGAAGCGGUACGUAUAGGACGAUAAGGACGAACAAGGAUGACGAUGACAUUGAACCUAAUCGAUAAUAAACUAAACCGAGCGGAGGGAGAGAGAGAAAAUUUCUUUUUCGAAAGAAUCCUUACCUCGAAAACCGUGAGGACUCGUACAACACAAUGAGCCAUCUGUCGAUGAGUGUAUAGCGAGGGAAUACGAUAUACCUUCGAAGGAAGAAAAUCGAGAUCAUCCUAAGAAGAAAAGAAUUUCUAUACCUGAGGAUCUACCGCUCGCGAUGAUUAACUGAUUACAUACACAGAUAUGCAUAUACGUGUAUAUGACGUACACAUGCACAGAUUAUCGAUAACCAAAUCUCUCCGACGAGCUUCAAAAAUUUCAUCAAACGAAGAAGAGAAGAGAAGAGAAGCGAGGCGAGAAGAGAAUACAGAGAAGGCAAAGGCAAAGGCAAAAAGAAAAAGAAGAAAGAGCUUUAUCCGUAGCAAAAAUACGUGAAAGACACGAGACGCGUGAUAAUAACCGCGGCGUAUUAUACACACGCCGUAAGGUAUACGUGUGCGCUCGAACGGUAUCGCAAUCUCCCAUAAUGUAAACGGGGUGGCGUCGAGGUGGUCGGUCAUCGGCGGGGGAUGGGGGGGUACGUCGAAGGUGGCGAGGGCAAACGUGGGUGACGUUGGCGGCGGUGGAGGUUCGCUCUGCCGAGCCUACUUGUAUGGAUUAUUUGAUUGAGAGAGGAGGCGUCGGGGGAGCGAGGGAGCGAGAGAACCAGCACGCGGCGGUGGGGAUCGCGGGGGGGGAUGACGCGGCGACGGUGGUGGGAGGAAACGGGGGAUAGAGGGCGAGACGCCAGCAAAACGUAAACACGAAAAGGGAUGCUGCGGUGCGGCGCCACCCCUCCCAAUAGCCCCGCGUUAUGCGGUUACGCGAAGCGCUUGCGCGCCAAAUCCAUGAAUGGGACAGCGUCCGCUCGUUGCUCCUAUCAUCUCCACGUAUUGUUACAUAGCCGACUGUACGCGGCGCACACGUACGCCGCUUGUUGUAUCGGUGUACGACGUCGUCGUCGUCGUCGUCGUCGUCGUCGUCGUCCCGGUCGUCGUGGACCGAGCGGGGUGGAAGAAGGGAGGAAAGGGGCGAGGGGCCGGUAAAACCGUAUCGUCGUAUCGACCGACGUCGCCAUGUUUGUUCCAAAUGAAAACUGGGCAAGGACAGGGUGUACUCCGUUAGUGUGUAUACAAUACGUAUGUACGGUAUACGUAUGUAUACGUGUACGUUGUACAGUCUGCAACGUUUCACGAGGGAUGAAAGCGCAUCGGCGUAGCGGACGACGACUGCGGCACAUGCUGACGCUAACCGGUGCAACUUGAUGCAGGUCCGAAACGAGAAUGAUCGAUAAAACGAUAUCAAUUGAUUUCCGACAAAUUCUUCGCAUCUCUGGACCAUUUUUUUCGACCUCCCUACGUCCCUUGGUAAAAUGUUCGGUCGAAAAACGGUACCGGGGUGGAGGGGAAGAAAUUUGAAAAAUUUUACCACCCCCCUCCCCCCCCCACCGUUCCCAAACGAUCACAGAAAAUUCGCGACGAAUGUUUUGAGAGUCCUGUUUUUUUUGUUCUUGUCGUUAUUCUGGGGAAAUUUUCCGAUCAAUUCGUCCCAGCGCGUAGUGUGUUUAACUUUUUUUUUCAAAAAUUACAUCGCACCAUAUUCCGCGCACGCUGUUCCAACGUAGGGGGAAAAAAGCCAAUAAAUUCGAAGGGAGAAAUGACAAUAAUAACAAUAAUAGAAAACAAACAAAUAAAUAAAUCAUUCGAAUAACGCGUCGUAAUGUUAUACUAUACAUUGACCGAUGAAAUCUAUAAAUAAAUUGCGGUAAAGCCGUUUAUGUAUUAACGGUCGAAUUUCGUUGGUUUAGAAUAUAACGUAUAAUUGUAUAACCGCCGGUACACGGGGAGUACCGAGAAUGAAUGGGAUUAAAUUUUUGUACGAUUUGCCGAUUGUCAUUUUUGUCGAUUGCGGGGUGCCGCGUUAGAUAAUUAAUUUGUAAAUUCACAAAUUGAAACAGAUCGGGGGGAAAUAUUUUAUAACGAUUACGCAACGAUCGUUAAAUUUCUCUUACAUAAAUCUAACCGGCGUACCCUAGCCCAUUCGGCCGUAAUUAUUAUCACGUUACAUCCGCGUAUAAUACGUAUCUAUAAUGUAAUGUUGACGUCAUGCCGCGAAACAGUAGCGCGGUUACGUCGAAGCAAACAAUUUUCUCAUUACUUACUUUUUCUUUGCUACGGCCGAUCGGGGCGGAUUCGACAACGGAAAGUUUGGGAUUCCAUCUCAUCCAUACGUGGAAUCUUCAUCUCCCAUAAGAGACAUGGCGAUCCACGUUCGCAGCGAAUCCGAAUUCGUGGAUUUCCGAGGGCAAAAACUUCGAGUUCAAACGUCGAAACCAUCCCCCUUGUACGAGUCUACGUAUAGGUCGUACGUCGCGGCGUCGCCCACAUGUUGCUGUUUACACUGGAAUUCUCGAGGGCCGUUGUCGUUUCUUCUAUCCCAACGACCGAGGCGAUCGGGGAUCGAGAGACGCGGUUCGCACUCGACGUGUCGGGGAGGGUGAGGACGGAUCGGAACGAGAUAGAGGGCUGCCGCCCGUAAUCCUUAAACGAGGAGUCGUACGUGAUAUCAUGAAUUUGGAAUAGGAUAUAACGUGAUACACGGAGAGAGGAGGAGGGAGGAGAGAAAAAUUCCUCGCGUCGCAAAGAAUGGAAAAAAGAACAAAAAAUAAUCAACGACUUCAAGCUCAAAGAUCACUCGACAGUUCCGGAUCAUUUUCAUUAUGGAAAUUUUGGCGUUC